CCAGCUCCAAUAGCGUAUAUUUAAGUUGUUGCAGUUAAAAAGCUCGUAGUUGGAUUUGGGGUUGGAGGAUUCGGUCUGCCGACAGGUUGAUACUGUUUCCUUCAUCCUUCUUGCUGAGGACGCGCUCUGGCCUUAACUGGCUGGGGCGCGGAGUCAGCGAUGUUACUUUGAAAAAAUUAGAGUGUUCAAAGCAGGCAUUUGCUCUGAAUACAUUAGCAUGGAAUAACACAACAGGACUCUGGUCCUAUUGUGUUGGUCUUCGGGACCGGAGUAAUGAUUAAUAGGGACAGUUGGGGGCAUUCGUAUUUCAUUGUCAGAGGUGAAAUUCUUGGAUUUAUGAAAGACGAACUACUGCGAAAGCAUUUGCCAAGGAUGUUUUCA
rnacentral:rRNA from 1 species